rnacentral:rRNA from 1 species
GACGAACGCUGGCGGCGUGCUUAACACAUGCAAGUCGAACGGAAAGGCCCCCAUUUUGGUGGGGGUUCUCGUGUGGCGAACGGGUGAGUAACACGUGUGUCCUCUCCUCUGUACUACGGGAUCGGCAGGGGAAACUGGGUCUAAUACCGGAUAGGACCCUGUUUUAGUGUCUCAUGGUGGAAGGAUCAUUGUUUUGGUGCAGGGUGAGCUCGUGGCCUAUCGGCUUGUUGGUGGGGUAAUGGCGUACCAGGGCGUCGACGGGUAGCCGGCGUGAGAGGGUGGACGUGCACAUGGGGACUGAGACACGGGCCAGAGUCAGACGGGAGGCAGCAGUGGGGAGUAAUGGACGAUGGGCGCAAGCCUGAUGGAGCGACGCGGCGUGAGGGAUGACGGCUUGCGGGUUGUAGUCUCCUGGCGGUAGGGAGGAUGCCACUCUUAUUGGGUGUGAUGACGGUUACUUUGUUAAGAAGCACCGGCUAACUACGUG